rnacentral:lncRNA from 1 species
AUAAAAAGUAAGUAAAUAAAAGAAAGCUCUCAAUUUGAGAAAGUCUACAAGUCAUGUUGUUUACUUAACCAACAAACAUUACUCUCACCUGACCUUCACAUGUGUUUUAUAUGGAUAGGGUGCUUUAACAUAACCAAGAACCUGUUUUUAAGUUGGACAGAGCAAUUAGGGGAUGAGGGCUUUGGGUGUGGUCUUUUGGUAUCUGGCAGACAACUAUUUAAUGCCUGCCCUGCUUCUCACCCUGUGAUCUUGGACAAGUUACUGAAUUCCUCUAAGCCUCAAUUUCCUAAUCUAAAGAAUGGAGAUAAUUGCUAUAUAGCACUUGUCACAUUGCAUUGUUGAGAGGACUAACUGAGGUCAGGUAAAUAAAAUGCUGAGCAUAGUGCCAAGCCACAUAAAAGGCCGUAUCGGAAGUGAUGUUAAUGAAGCUGAUAACACCACCUGUGAUGGGUCACUCAACGCAUCCACAAGACGGGCUGAGGAAUGCCCAGAGAGCUGGUAAAACAUUAUUCUUGGGUGUGUCUGUGAAGGUGUUUUCAGAAGAGAUUAGCAUUUGAAUUGGGAAACUGAAUAAAGAAGAUGGCCCACACUAAUGUGGAGGGGUAUCAUCGAGUCUCUUGAAGGCUUGGAUAGAACAACAACAACAAAAUAGGUGAAGCAAGGAAGAAUCUAUUCUUGGCUGCAGCUGGGACAUCUUGCCCUCAGACAUCUGCACUCCUAGUUUUUUGGACCUUUGAACAUAGACCACAUAACACCACAGGUUCUUCUGGGUCUCCAGUUUGCAGAUGGCAGAUUGUGGGGAUUCUCAGUCUCUACAACUACAUGAGCCAAUUCAUAUGUGUGUAUAUCUAUGUAUCAGUCUCUCUGGAUAGAUCUAUCUUCCAUUGGUUCUGUUUUUCUGGAGAACCCUACUACACCACCACUAUGCUUGGUUUUCCCCUUCUUGUGUAGACUGAGCAGAACAGACUAUGUGAUGAUCGGGAAUAUGAGAUUAUUAUCAUUAGACACAUUUAAAAAAAGAAAAACCAUAACUAGAUCAGUGAAUAUAUAAAACCCUUCAUAGAUGCAUUUAUAAUGCAGCAAAUGGAAUGUAGCAAAGGUUUGAUUACUGUGAAGGUAUUUAUUGGUGAAAUACUCAAAGGCAUGAAAAUUACUUUUUUUGUCAGGAUCACUUUAAUAAACCAGGUGUGUGUGCAUGUGCAUGCGCAUGUACGUGUGUGUGUGUGCGCAUGUGUGAACAUGUGUCUCUGUAAGAGAUAUAUUACAUGUGAGGAUGGAAUUUUUAGCCAUGGAUUGAAAAGGGUAAGGAUAUCACAUGAUUGUGGUUUUUAGGAUGAUUUUAGUGUCAAUAACAAGGAGUGCCCUCUCCCUUCUGCUAUAACGAACAUGGUUGUAAUUCAAGAGGAGUUUAUGGAACAAUAAUUUCUACACUGAUUGGGGGAAAUCUAUGUAAUGGUUGAAAACUUAAGACCCUGGUAAUUUACUGCAUCUUGUGAUAUCAAAUGGACAAUUUUUUAAUUUAAUUCAAGUAUUGUUGAGAUACAAUAUUAUAUGUUUCAAGUGUACAAUGUAGUGAUUCACAAUUUUAAAGGUUAUACUCCAUUUACAAUUAUUACAAAAUAUUGGCUACAUUCCCUGUGUUGGACAAUACGUCUUUGUAGCUUAUUUAUUUUGUACAUAGCAGGUUGUACCUCCUAAUUCCUUACCCCAUCUUGUCCCCUCCCCCCUUCUCUUGGCCUAUUGGUAAUCACUAAUUUGUUCUUUAUAUCUGUGGUCUGCUUCUUUUUUGUUAUAUUCAGUAGUUUGUUCUAUGUUUUAGAUUCCACAUAUAAGUGAUAUCAUAUAGUCUUCGUAUUUUUCUGCCUGAGUUAUUUUAAUUAGCAUAAUAUCCUCUAAGUCCAUUCAUGCUGCAAGUGACAACAUUUCUUUCUUUUUUAUGGCUCUGGAGUAUUCCAUUGUACAUAUAUACAUCUUUAUCCAUUCAUCUUUUUGGCUUUUUUCUUAAUAAUGCCAUUAGAGUAUAAGUGACUUGAAAGUUGUGUUAGUUUUAACUUUUCAAGGUGUAUAGCAAAGUAAAUAAGUUAUACACAUAAAUAUACCCAUUCCUUUUCAGAUGCUUUUCCCAUAUAGGUUAUCACAUAGUAUUGAGUAGCUUACCCUGUGCUAUAAAGUAGGUCGUUGUUACAUAUCUAUUUUAUAUACAGUAAUGUAUAUAUGCCUAUCCCAACCCCCAAUUUAUCUUUUCCAUCCCAAAUUUCCCCUGUGGUAAACCAUAAAUUUGGUUUUAAAAUCUUUGAGUCUUUUUCUGUUUUGAAAGUUCUUUUGUAUCAUUUUUUGUUACAUUCUCCACAUUAAUGAUUUCAUAUGAUAUUUAUAUUUCUCUGUCUGACUUACUCCACUUAGUAUGAUAAUUUCUAGGUCCAUCCAUGCUGCUGCAAAUGGCAUUCUUUCUUUUUUUAUGGCUGAGUAAUAUCCCAUUGUAUAUAUGUACCACAUCUUCUUUAUCCAGUCCUUUGUUAAUGGGCAUUUAGGUUGCUUCCACAUGUUGGCUACUGUAAAUAGUGCUGCAGUGAACAUUGGGGUGCAUGUAUUUUUUCAAAUUAUGGUAUUCUCUGGAAAUAGGCCAGAAGUGGGAUUUCUGGAUUUUAUGUAUUUUAGUUUUUUAAGGAACCUCCAUACCGUUCUCCAUAGUUGUUGCACCAGCUUACAUUCCCACCAACCGUGUAGGAGGGUUCCCUUUUCUCCACACUCUAUAUAGCACUUAUUCUUUGUAGAUUUUUUGAUGAUGGUCAUUCUGACUGGUGUGAGGUUUUAUAUCUCAUUGUAGUUUUUUUUUUUUUUUUUUUUUUUUUUUUUUUUUUUGUUUUUUGUUUUUUUGUCUUUUGCUAUUUCUUUGGGCCGCUCCCGCGGCAUAUGGAGGUUCCCAGGCCAGGGGUCGAAUCGGAGCUGUAGCCACCGGCCUACACCAGAGCCACAGCAACACGGGAUCCGAGCCGCGUCUGCAACCUACACCACAGCUCACGGCAACGCCAGAUCGUUAACCCACUGAGCAAGGGCAGGGACCGAACCCGCAACCUCAUGGUUCCUAGUCGGAUUCGUUAACCACUGCGCCACGACGGGAACUCCUCAUUGUAGUUUUGAUUUGAAUUUCUCUAAUAAUUAGUGACAUGAACAUCUUUUUAUGUGUUUUUUUGGCCAUCUGUAUGUCUUCUUUGGAGAAAUGUCUAUUUAGAUCUUUUGCCCACCUUUUGAUUGGGUUGUUAAUUUUUUUUGAUAUUUAUCUGCAUAACCUGUUGGUAUAUUUUGGAGAUUAAUCCCUUGUCAGUCACUACAUUUGCAAGUAUUUUCUCCCAUCCUGUGGGUUGUCUUUUCAUUUUGUUUAUGGUUUCCUUUGCUGUGCAAAAACUUUUAAGUUUAAUUAGGUCCCAUUUGUUUAUUUUUGUUUUUAUUUUCAUUACUC